GUGCUGAUGGAUGUAGCCAGAAAGAGUCUUCUUUGCCAGAUUCAGAUUUCAAAGGUGUCCCUUCUGACAGCAGUUGGUGGAAUGCUGGUGGGCUUACACCAAGAUUAACAUAUGGACAAGCCUCCAAUUUCAUGACAAUGGAUUAUAGUUCUGGUCCACUUGAAGAGUUUGAAAACAGACCGUUUUCUGCUUCAAGCUUUAAUCUAGGCGGAGAGGCUGGCUUAUUAAGCCAUGGCAACAGAUCAGGUCCUUUGAGGACUGUUAGGAGUAAACCAGCCCUCUAUAGGUUAAGGGGUAGUAUGAG
rnacentral:misc_RNA from 1 species